CUGGCUCAGGAUUAACGCUGGCGGCAUGCCUAAUACAUGCAAGUCGAAUGGGGAGCUUGCUUCCCAUGGCGAACGGGUGAGUAAUACGUAGGUAACCUACCUUUAGGACGAGGAUAACCUUUUGGAAACGAAGGAUAAUACUGGAUAGUAUAGAUUUCCGCAUGGAGAUAUAUUUAAAGAUUUAUCACCUAGAGAGGGGCCUGCGGUGCAUUAGCUAGUUGGCGGGAUAAAGCCCACCAAGGCGAUGAUGCAUAGCCGGACUGAGAGGUUGUACGGCCACAAUGGAACUGAGAACGGUCCAUACUCCUACGGGAGGCAGCAGUAGGGAAUUUUCGGCAAUGGGCGGAAGCCUGACCGAGCCAAUGCCGCGUGAAUGAUGAAGUAUUUCGGUAUGUAAAGUUCUUUUAUCUAGGAAGAAAAAACAAAUUGACGGUACUAGAUGAAUAAGCUCCGGCUAACUACGUGCCAGCCGCGGC
rnacentral:rRNA from 1 species